UUCCUGUAGAGAAUUGAAGACAAAGAUACAAGGACAAAUCUGUUCAUUCGAAAAAUAUUUGGAGUGCGAUAAAAGUCAUGUCACAGCUAGAAUGUCUCUUCACACAUUCUCCUGGGAAGACAUUAAAGAAUGUACAAGCUGUGGAAAUAGGCUGGAUUUCUUCAUUUCAGAUGUAAAAUGAAGAUAUGAGGAACCCCAACUGUUGGCAGUGUCUGCUCCUGG